UAAUCUAUCUAGGACAAAUCCUCAUCUAACUAUGACAGACCCAUACAUAACUACUCAAAUCACUUGUUAUUACAGGUCCGAUAACAUCAUUUAGUUUUUAAGAGAGUUUUUAGUGGGGUUUAUAUAAAACUAUGAU
rfam:Populus trichocarpa scaffold_86_contig_9, whole genome shotgun sequence.